CCAACUCCUCACGUCUCUCUCGCUCAUUCUCUCUCUAUUUUUCUCCUCUCCCCGUACGAGAGCAGCCGAGUGCCCCCAAUUGCCAUUGACACGGGCGCCGCUCCGGCCGGCCGCCGUUGCCAAUUGCCAUUGACACGGGCGCCGCUCCGGCCGGCCGCCGUUCUUCUCCGGCCUCGCCGCUGGUCAGAUUUGUUCCGCCGCCAUGUGCUCUACCCCCACCAUCUUUUCGAUUUGUUAUUCACGACCCCGCUCGCAUGCAUCUCCUGCGAUGCCGCCGCCGCGCACCACCUCAUUCCCGACGGUCUCAGCCCUCACCGACGCCGGCGAGGUGGGAGUCUUGCUCGCCUCGACGUGCUCUACAACCUGAUCCCGCUCUAUUUAAUCCUCGCUGCUUCUUUCGUCCACCCCAACCCCGAGAACCCUAACUUUACUGCUGAGCAAUUCGACCGUCGCCGGCCUCUUCUGGCGCCGCCGUCUGCCGGCGCGGAUCCGGCAGGGUAUCCUCCGUUCUGGUUCGACCAUGCUAUUGGUCAUGUUCCAGGUGCCAUUCUUGGCUCGCCAUGACUACUGCUACUCGACCCUGGCGGAACAGCGAUGUGUUUGCAACCCCGGCGUCCGUGUACUGAUGGUGUGGUGCUGGUGUGGAGAUGAGGUGCUGAUGCUUGGAUGGUGUCGUGGUGGCGCUGGUGUGGUGGUGUACUGAUGGUGAUGCUGCUGAGACAAUAUUGCCGUGUCACCUACUGCAGCCCCGACGCCAGCGGGAUGGCACUGAAGAUCUAACCUCGGCGUCGACUACCCCGCCUAUGCCAUGUAUUGCAUUGUGAGCUAAAUUCCACUCCUCUCCACUCUGUCUAUGACCAUGUCUUGGCGGGUUGUACUUGUGUGUGGUUACUUGGUUAGCCAUUUAGAGGAGCUUGGUACUGGUUCUAUAAUUCUAAUGGUCAUAGGCUGCUGAUCUUACGCUAAUUAAUUUAUAGUGAAGUGGUUCUUGGUUCCUACGAGUGAGCAUAAGCAAAUGCUCAAAAUUGACUUGCUGAUGCUAGUGUUUUUAAUUCAUCUAGUAGUUAAACAUUGAUCUACAUGUUUUGGUAACUUUUGGGAUGAAGAAAUAAAUAGGACAAAUGUUGCUGCGGGUAAAAUGACUAUAUGCAUCUUAUAAUGCAUAUAAUCCACAUAUAUUUAUAUAGGUUAAUCAAGUUGUAACUGCUGUGUUGUUUGUGCUGGUAAAGCCUUGAUCAAAUUGGUCAAUGCCUUGUGCUUAAGUUGGUGCCUCAAUUUGGAUGACCUGAUCAUCCACGGCUUGUGUGGCUUCUUGCUAUUUCAUCUUUGAACAAACUGACCUUUAUCGGGUGGUGAACUGGAGAGUUCAGUUAUGCCUUUGUUUAUCUCAUUGAUUAGUUGAGAUAUGUUAGAAUACAAACGCUGGUGUUUAUAGGAAUAUUAUUCACUUGUUACAUUGCUUGGUGAGAUCAUAUUAAUGCUCAUGGUGCUUUUGCUGCUGGAUCAAAUUAAUCCACUGAUCACUAUUAUGUUAUGUAACAGAUAUAUGUAUGUGCUAUGCGAAGUGGAUACUUGACCAUUUCCAGGACAUGGUUUACUUGUGGGCUUGAUGUAUUUGGAUGGGUCUUACUUAAACAAGAGAUGAUAAUCUUCAAGUUUAGUUUAGGAUUUGAUUUUCUUUUCUUAUACUUGUAAUUGUAACUAUAUUCUUAUUCUUUAUUAUUUUUGUAAAGACUUUGUAUUUUUGUGUUAAUAUUAAUAAAGAAAUGUUUUCCU